GCCAUUCCAUUCCUUAAGUUUCUAUUCCAUACAUGCCAAGUGUUAGAAUAUAGGAUCACACACACGCACACAAACGAUAGAGAAUUAAGAAGAACAUGAGAUUUACGUGGUUCCCCAAUUUUGAUACUCCACAGGCUGCUUGUUGUUUAUUGAUGAUUCCUUGAUUACAUAGGACUUUACAAUAGAUAGUAUAUAUACAUACUAAUCAUAUUUCAACCCUACUUCACAUUAUGGUUAAUUACACAUAAUGCUCUUUCCAAUUAAUAACCCAGAAAUAUUCUGACGCCGAACAGCGCGGCCCGCGCCACUCCAAAGCUUACCAUAGCGCGGCCCGUGCUACCUGCCCAGUAGCUCUUCCAGUGUCAGCGCGCCCCGCGCCGCUCCCAGACUUAACCUAGCGCGUCCUACACUAGCCUUUUUCAGUGGCUACUAUAUUUUGAGUCACAAGUUCCCAACACCAAAGAAUGAGAACCAAACAUAGAAACGGUUCCUCUUCCUCGGAUGAGACGAAAUGGUAGCAGUUGUUACUAUUUUGUAUAUUUUCUUUGUACAUCAUUAAUCUUGAGUGCACCAGUCGUACUACCUGAUCUAGUAUCUGUGCUUGCUAUUUAGAGUAAAUCAUGAGCUCUACUUCUUUGGAUUGUUGUGUUCAUGCUCUUUAAAUUUAUAACAUUGUUAUUUAAUUUUCUUCUAUAAUUAAUUAAUGAUAUUAUUUUGUGGUAGUGUUCCUUUUUUCUUCUUUGGAUUCCCAUGCCCUUAUCUUCUGUCCUAACUCCUAAGCAACAAUGAUUGUAUUUUCUAUAUUAAAUUCAUGCAGUUUACAGUAGGAAAAAGCUUAAAUUUCCAUACUAUCUAGUCAAAUUGGCAUCGUUCCAUAGAUGUUGGGUUGGGUUGGGUUGUUAUCUGAUGAUCAGUCAAAGAUCGGUUAAUGAUUAAAUAUAAUAGUUGUCAAAACUGAAAGAAUAACAAUAAUUAAAUUAAGUUCUCUCUAUGUUACCACCAACAUUAUAUAUAAUAUAUAUUUAUAUAUGGAGAAUGCUCUAUAGUUUGCGUUAGUUAUGAAUAUUAUUUCAAUUAGUUCAUCUGUAGAGACUAGAAUGAGCAAGGCAGAGGCCUAAUUGCUAGUCCCUCCUGCGGCCUCCCAAAUUGAUCAGCCUUUUCUUACUGGUUGUAGGAGGGACUAGCGACCAGUUAAAACGCUAGUCCUCUUGCGGCCAGUAUGACAAGUCCCGCGAUUAAGAUUGAGAAGUCAUGCGGCCAGUAUUUGAGGGCAUAUUAGUACUUUAGCUAGCCGUAUGAGGGAGUUGCACUGGUCGCAAGAGAGACUAACGGCCUUGCUCAUUCUAGUCCCUUAGACCAUUUUAGUCCUUUAGAUCUUACAUUGGACGACAACACAUGAGCUAGUUAAAAUAAUGCUCAUAACUA
rnacentral:lncRNA from 1 species